rnacentral:tRNA from 1 species
GAGGGUACAGCUCUGUGGUAGAGUGUGUGCUUAGCAUGCACAAGGUCCUGGGUUCAGUCCCCAGUAGCUCCA